ACACAGAAAAAUUCAGAUUUAUACAUUUGUAAAAAGACAAAACAAAUGCAGAAAAAAAUAACAAAAAAUCUGUCACAAUGAAUAAAAGAACCAUUUGGCAUUAUGACCCAAUACUGCAUCCAUAAAUAUUGCACUGAUCAAAUUACAGUUUUCUCACCCUGAAAGACUUGCACCAAGUUACCACCGAAGUGACUGCCAACACCACCAACAACAAGCGAUAUAUCAACUCCUCAACAACCGCUACAGCAUACCAAGGAUUGGCGCUAUGGAUUAUUCUAGCUUCAGGGUAACAUAAGCUCAGUAGCAGUAAUAGGCCUAAUGCAAGAGCUCCAGCCACAGCUACAAGUUGGUAAACCCGGCUAUCCAAUGUGUAUCCCCCUGGCAGACAGAUCUCCAUGACUCAAGAUGAGUAUAAUAUUAAUAUAAUACUCUGCUAUUAUUAGUGUUCCAAUGAAAGGUCUGGAGUGUCCUUGGUGUCAAAUGAUGAUACUUUGGUAUUCAGCUAUGAAGGACUACAGACAUAUUUAUCUGACAUGAUAAAAAUACUUAUCUGAUACAGAUAACCUAAGCCAGAUAAGAAGACAAAACCUAAACUAAUGUCCUAAAACUUUAUACUUGGAUUCCACAUGAAGCAACCACAUGAAACAUUAGAGCUUUUGAGUAGAUGGCAUGGAAUAAAAUGCAAGAAGAGAGUAUACAAGCACAAUGUAAACUGCACAUUGGACAAGCAAGAUUGAGUAGAAAAGUAUUGCUACACAACAUCUUUGUAAUUUAGUAACUCAGUAAUUAUUUUAUAUACCUGAGAUAGUUUGCCUUGGAAUUCCUCUGAGUCACGUGAGAGAAGCAAACUAUUAUGUGAGAUAGGCCGAACUGGGGCAUGUACUCGGCUUUUCUCACGCCCCAUCAGAAAUCUGUGAAAAAAAUCAAUUGGUCAGUCUUUGUUAUUGGGUGGAAAUGAUAAUAGGGAAAUUAUAAUGGUAAAUGCUAUUUAGUAAAUUAACCCCUUCUGGCUGUUGGGAUAUCAGCGGAUUAUGUCCAAGGAUGAGAAAUGGUAUGAAAAAAUAAACUAGCGGCCAAGAAGUGAAGCUUUGAGGGCAACUGUAAAAUUUUGAGGAUGAUAAUAUUUGGUGGUCAAGGGGGGUGCAUGUGCACCCUGUGCGCCCCCCUGAGUGGCACCCUUGACACGUCGCAGGUGGACAUACCUAACAGUUCCUGAGGUGUGCUUGAGGGUGACAGCAGCAAACAUCUGGGUGACGCCCACCAGUGAUACACCAUCAACUUCAAUAAUUUGAUCAUUAACUUGAAUCCUUGAGAAAUAUGUAAGGAUGCAGUGUUAGAAUAUUGGUCUCAAUAAAUCUUGCUAGGGUGGCCAUUACAGGAAACAGACAAAUAAAUCAGCUAUACUGAUUAAAAAAUGUACUUAAACUGUUUAAA